rnacentral:RNase_P_RNA from 1 species
AGAGUAGGACGAAUGAUCGCUGCCUUGCCCUUUUGGCAAGGGAGAGGAAAGUCCGGGCUCCACAGGACAUGGUGCUGGGUAACGCCCAGUCCCGGUAACGGGAAGGAAAGUGCCACAGAAAGAAAACCGCCCCCGCCGACUGCAUGUCGGCGGGAGUAAGGGUGAAAUGAUGAGGUAAGAGCUCACCAGUCCCGCCGGUGACGACGGGAGCUAGGUAAACCCC